GCUGCCUCAGUGUUUUUUACAAAAGACCAAGUUGGAGAACAGCGGGACCCUGCCGGAAACACGGGUCCCGCGAAAUACAAAACAGUUCCUCAGAGGCUUCUGGGAGUUGAGGUGGCAAUCAGAGCGUCUUUCAGACUCCAAAGGGUCGCAACCCACAGGCUGAGAACUGCUGACUAAGAACCAUCCGGAACCAUUACCACAAUCCAAGAGCCAGGGCCCUCUACAGGAGCUAAACUCCUAAGGGCUGCCCUGACAGAAGCUGGAGCCAGAAGAACUCAGAGCUUGUGAAGGAAUUGGCAAGAGACCAGAAGCUGCAUCAGCACCCAAAACAGCAGCAGAUGGCUCAAGCUGGUGCCAAGAAUAAGAACUUAGAAGCACGUCUGUGAAACUGGGCUCCCUGCUCUCACCGCUUCCUUUAAAUGGACCGCUGAAGACAGACUGAGCACGUAUGCCACAAUGAUCACGUUCUACACAUGAGAAGACCUCCCAGAACUCGGGCCUGCUUGUUUCAACUCAACAAAGGAAAUCUGUAACCCUGGACCCAAUAAAGCAUUGGCUCUGGAAUA